rnacentral:lncRNA from 1 species
UUAGCUAUUUACUAUCCAGAUUCUAUAAAACCAAUGAACAAAUUUGAGAAAUGAAUCUAUUUAUGCCGAGACAAAUUGAGGUCUCUUAUCGCCUGCAACACCAAAUGUCUUACGUCUAUUCUUUCUAGAAUCUGUCUGAGGAAAGUCUGAAGAAUGGUGAGAACCAAUGGCAGGAGGACGAGAAGAGACUCUGUCUCUAAACUCUUUCCGUAUUUCCCAUAGAACCUCUUGACAAUUCUUCAUCGAUGGACGCAAUCGUCUCACAGGUGCAAGACACUGGAAAGCAAGC